UCUGGGAUGGGCCCUCGGGGCUGCCUGUUAGAAUAUUUGGCAUCUCUUGUAUGAGCUAUUGCAGGAGCAAGAUAGUUGCACCAUUUGGUUUGCUCAUGUUAAUGCAAGGCAGGUGAGCAGUUAAUUGGUUGGUUGAGG